rnacentral:lncRNA from 1 species
CAUGGGAGCAAAGCAAAGGGUUUAUUUGAGUCCCCUGCAAGGAAUAACCUGUAAUAUGAUAAUCAGGCUCAAUGAGCUAGUUUCAUUUAUAUAGCACAGGGCAGGUUAGCAGAACUGAAAUAUGCUUGCAAGGGAUGAUCAGAUCAUUAGGGUUAGAGCUUGGGAUAAGAAGCAUUAGAAUUUUUUAUUGGUUCAGUGCCAAGUAGAUACUUGGGAUUUUAAGUCAGAUCAAAAUCAUGAUUUGCAUAAAGAAAAAUCUAGUAGUUCAGAAAGUCGUGGCAGUAAACUAUUAGAAAAAGGAGAAGAAUAUAGAUUUGAAUGUGAUCAUUUUUGCUCAAAAAAUUUGAUCUCUUCUGCAAAGUGUCAGUAGAUAAGAAGAACAAGGGCAGUAAGGAAAGCAGGAGGAACAUAGAUGGAGGGAUUGGUUGAAUAGAUCUAAAUAGCCAGACCAAACUUUGCAGUAAAUUUCUAUCUUCAAAAAUAAGUCAAAAACAUGCCCCUCAAUAGAAUCAUAACCAAGGUUUUGAAUACCGUGGGAUGGGGUCGUCCUAGUUUUCUAUCAAAUGGGAUGCCCCACGUACCGACACCCAAAACAGUGGAUUACCUGUCUUGGUCCAUUUCCCAACCUAUUCUGUCCCAGCACUCAGGAUGAUAGGAUGCCCCGUUGUCUCACCAAUACUUGAAACCUUGAUCAUAACCCCAUAUUCGAUAAUCCAAAAUGCACAAUCUGACCAAUUAAAGUUCUAGUAGGACUCUACAUUAUAAAGGAACAAAAGCAGCACUUAACCCAUCAACCUAUACCAUUCUUAUCUGGUCAUCUGGCACCUAAACCUUGUCUAAUAAGUAAACAAAUAAAUGGAAGAGAGAAAAUACAACCUGGCUAAUCAAAGAUCUUAACACUUCCCAGUUGACCUUUAGAACUAUAAAACAUCAUUUAAAAGAUUAAAUCCUAGAUGACACCCAGGCAGACAUAUAAAUAGAUAAAAAUAUGUUUAUUUAUGUGCAUUUAUUGUACGCAAACAUAUAGGCAUACACCUACCUACACAUCUCAUGUGUUGUUUAAGUUGGAGCUUCAAAACAAGGAUUGCUAAACUAUAGUCUUUGAACCCGUUCUUGAAUCAACCCUGUAUGCUCCUGUACUCAUUUCUUGUGCCAUAUUAAGUUAUGUGCAACAUAAAAUUUAUCCAUUUUCCAAUUAAAUUUCUAGUAUUCCAUGCUUUGUACCCACUCCUGACUUCUUAGGGCAGGGUGUCCACUUCUAUCUCCUCUUCCUCUACCUUCAGCUAGGAUAUGUAGUUUAUACUACUGGCUUCCGCUCAACUCUUGGAUCCCUUUUGAUGCUCAACAAUGGUUGUAAGUUUCUCAAGUAGCAUGCCCCCUUUUGAUGCCACAUGUAUGCACACAGAAACUUCACAAUUGCAAGCGCACAGACACACAAACAACAUCCAUCCACAUGCGGAAAGAGAGAGAGAGAGGGACA